AUUGAACGCUGGCGGCAGGCCUAACACAUGCAAGUCGAGCGGAUGAAGGGAGCUUGCUCCUGGAUUCAGCGGCGGACGGGUGAGUAAUGCCUAGGAAUCUGCCUGGUAGUGGGGGAUAACGUCCGGAAACGGGCGCUAAUACCGCAUACGUCCUGAGGGAGAAAGUGGGGGAUCUUCGGACCUCACGCUAUCAGAUGAGCCUAGGUCGGAUUAGCUAGUUGGUGGGGUAAAGGCCUACCAAGGCGACGAUCCGUAACUGGUCUGAGAGGAUGAUCAGUCACACUGGAACUGAGACACGGUCCAGACUCCUACGGGAGGCAGCAGUGGGGAAUAUUGGACAAUGGGCGAAAGCCUGAUCCGGCCAUGCCGCGUGUGUGAAGAAGAUCUUCGGAUUGUAAAGCACUUUAAGUUGGGAGGAAGGGCAGUAAGUUAAUACCUUGCUGUUUUGACGUUACCAACAGAAUAAGCACCGGCUAACUUCGUG
rnacentral:rRNA from 1 species